UCCGGUGAUGAUGGCGAGGUGGCCACACCCGUUCCCAUUCCGAACACGGAAGUUAAGCACCUCAGCGGCGAUGGUACUGCACCUGGGAGGGUGUGGGAGAGUAGCACGUUGCCGGAG
rnacentral:rRNA from 1 species